GCAUCAGUGGUUUAGUGGUAAAAUCCAUCGUUGCCAUGAACGUCGAUGGGCCCCGUGUUCGAUUCACGGCUGAUGCA
rnacentral:tRNA from 2 species